rnacentral:rRNA from 1 species
GAUGAACGCUAGCUACAGGCUUAACACAUGCAAGUCGAGGGACCGGCGCACGGGAGAGUAACACGUAUCCAACCUGCACUUUACUCGGGGAUAGCCUUUCGACAGAAAGAUUAAUACCUGAUAUAAAGGCUGGGGAUGGGUUCCAUUAGGUUGUUGGUGAGGUAACGGCUAACCAAGCCUUCGCUGGCUAGGGGUUCUGAGAGGAAGGCCCCCCGGAAUUGAACAGUGACACAGUCCAAUAGGCUACGGGACGCAGGAGUGAGGGAUAUUGGGCAAUGGGGGCUAGCGCGGACCAGCCAAGUAGGGUGAGGGAGGAAGGCUUAGUAAUCGUAAUCUUCUGUUAUAUAAGAAUAUUUAUUAUAAGAAGAAGGAUCGGCUAACUCCGUGCCAGCCGCAGCGGUAAUAC